rnacentral:lncRNA from 1 species
GGGUAAUAUGCAAUAUAUGAAAACAAGGGAAACUCUAGUGAAGUUAAAGAUAUUAUUUUUUAUGUGAAAAUAUUGUUGUUCUAUUUCGAAUGGAAAAUUUAUGAGGAGCUAGGAUUUGAAGAAAAUGUAGAUAAAGAAUUAGAUUUUCAUUCAAGCAAUAGCUAUUACUGUGUACUGAAGUUACAAUUAAAACUGUAUUUUUGGCACAUGCUGUGUUAGCUUUUGUUUAAGAAAGAAUAGUUUAGUAUUGAGUUUUUAAAGUAAUUAUAGAUAAUAAUAAAAAUGCAUUCAUAUUUAUAAACAAUUUAAUUAAAACUGUGAUAAAUGUAGUUGUAUAAAAUAUGAGAAAACAUUAUAUUAGUAAU